UUUGUUUAAAUGUCAAGCUGGGUUGUAACUUGUCUCGUUUUCUGUCUUUAUUUCUUUAGCUCGUCCAUCUCCACAGCAGUGGGCAGAGCUGCUCCGCUUAAUUAGUCAAGACAAAGAGCUGCUGCAUGGUCAAUUCUUGGGACCAAAUGGUCUUGUCCGAACCCGUCAGAAGUGGGCUGCGAUAGCUGACAAAGUCAACACUGUGGCCGGCGCCACUGUUCAAAAGGAUGGUGACCAGUGGAAGUUGGCUUGGAUGGGUGUAAAAACCCGUGCUCGUGCUAGCCUGAGAUCCAUGGCUGCGUACAGGAAUGGGACAGGUGGCGGCCCAGAUGUUGAAAUUGCAGGGCUCGGCCUUAGUGAGCUCCAUGAGAAGGUGCUGAAUCUUACAGGAAUCACAGCUGCGAUUGGCACCAGCUGUCCUGAUCCCUUACAGGUUUGUUUCUGUUAUAGAUUCAUAAAAUUUUUCGUAAUAUUUUCUAUAUUCCUUAUCAGUGUAAAUCUUUACAGAUUCAAUUACAGGUGGCACGUGCCCCUCCAAAUCAAUUGGUUGACCAGCAGAUUUACAUCAGCGACCUUGAGCAGGACAAAAGUGUUGAGGCGGAGAUAGAAAUUCCGGAUGCUGACGAAUUGCUGAAUAUGUUUGUAUUGCAUGAGGGGCAAGUGGGCAAUCCGCAGGUACAGUACUGUGUGCUGUCAUUCUAGCAUUAACUGCUCAAAAUAUGACAGCUACUUUGUCCUUCCUUCACGCAACUAUAUUUUCCUUUUUCUAUUUCAGGUUUCU